rnacentral:rRNA from 1 species
GCCUACGGGGGGCAGCAGUGAGGAAUAUUGGUCAAUGGCCGGAAGGCUGAACCAGCCAAGCCGCGUGAAGGACGAAGGUGCCAAGCAUUGUAAACUUCUUUUGUCAGGGACGAAGCAAGUGACGGUACCUGACGAAUAAGCCACGGCUAACUACGUGCCAGCAGCCGCGGUAAUACGUAGGUGGCAAGCGUUAUCCGGAUUUAUUGGGUGUAAAGGGCGUGUAGGCGGGAAUGCAAGUCAGAUGUGAAAACUAUGGGCUCAACCCAUAGCCUGCAUUUGAAACUGUAUUUCUUGAGUGCUGGAGG